GCUCAUGUGCUCCUCAGUGCAGAAGGCCCUGUUUGAGGAAGAGGACCAUGUCAAGAAGCUGCAGCAGAAGGUGGCCACCCUGGAGAAGCGGAACAGGCAGCUCCGAGAGCGAGUCAAGAAGGUCAAGAGGUCUCUGAGGCAGGCACGGAAGAACAGCCGCCACUUGGAGCUGGUGAACCAAAAACUCAAUGAGAAGCUGGGGGGCCCAGGUGCUCAGCAGCACGUGAAUGCUCUGGGCCGGGAGCCCGAGCGCGCCCCAUAUCGGCAUGGGUAGCAGGUGCAAGUGGAUGCAGGCCUGCCUUGGCUGUGCCGGCUGACUGAGAGGACAGACAGAUGCAGGGUCUAUAUACACACUUAUUUCAAACUAUAGGAGAUAUCCGUUAGGCAUUUGGUAGAGGUCUAACUGGGUAACGUGGCAAGUCUUGCUUUCUUUCCCCUUGGGUGCUAACCUUAAUGGCCACUUGGAGCAUGCCCUCUUUCUGCCCUGGUGCCACACAAGAGCCUUAAAACUGGAAGGCAGUAGGAUCUUGAGGCCCUCAGCCUCUAGAGAGUCCCUUCAUUGGGGAGAGAACAGUCUAGAACCUCGGUAUACACAAAGGUAUCACGGGACUUGGCUUUUAUUUCAGAAGAGAGUCAGUGUUGCGUUUCAGCCACCAGAGCUGGUACACACAUGUACUGUUCUAAAACAUUCCGGAAUGUUCUACUCUGCCCCAUGUUUUUAGAAAUGGUGUCUACAUGUAAAUGUGCAGAACACCCAUACUUCAGUCAGUAUUUCUCCCACAGCUGAAGCAUGUUAAGACUUAACGAGUUCAUUACAGGUAAGGGAACCAGGCAAGGAGCUGAGGCAGCUAGUAAUUGGUAAAGAUAAAUUAUAUCUGUUUCCCCACCCCAGCUCCCCAGAGCUGACAUGAUUACCUACAGGAUGUUUUCAUCUAAAGAGUAAUUGCUUCUAUGGACACACCGUAUUUCAUCACCCCAUAUUCCCAAAUUGGAAUCUAGCUCAGCCACUGUGGAGUCUUAACUUUGUGUUUGCUCAGCCUGCCAUGUCUUUGAGUUCAAGGUCGCUGACCCCAACACACUGAGAUUUUCUACUCUGCAAAUAAUGUCU
rnacentral:lncRNA from 1 species